AAAAAUAUAUUUUGACUACACCCGACGAAUUAUGUUCACAGAUUGUGCAGGUUGAUGCCACUAAAGACCACGAUUAACUUCACCAAAUGACAUGGAAAUAUGUGCGUUCAAACCACCAGAAGGUGCAGUGCAACCAAGUCCACCAAGCCCCCC